AAUGAGCACCAUAAACUUUAUAUAACUUUAGAUACUAAUCUUAUACUUGUUUGCCCUGUUUUGAUGAAAAUAAAUUGUCUUUUGCAUGCUUUGCUCCUUAAUAAAGAGUAAACACUUUCAUUUAACACGUUCUUAAUUUAAGUUGUCAGACUUUCGCUCAUCAAUAAUGAAAUAUGAAUAUAUAAGCAUAUCUUGUUUUUAAAGUUAAUACUUGAUCCUAAUUGGAGGGAGAUUUCCGUAUCGUGAUACGUGGAAGAAUAAUCGCCAAGUCUUGGAAACUUCCGGGCAGUGACGCGUGAGAAUAUCACAGAAAGGGACCAACUAGAAAGGUAUAUAAUUUAGCCCACGGGCAAACAUCAAAAUUUUUUUUGCAGGUUUAAAAUCUAUUUGGCACCUUGGCGAUUGUUGUUGAUGGGACAGAUCACGAUAUGGAUCGGAUUCAGAUCCCCUGAAAAUUCUCAAAGCUUAAUACUUCCGUAGAACAAAUUUUUCUUUUCUUUUUGCUUUGAAAUUCCAAAUUAUUUAAUUCCCAAUAAUUCCUCCCCCAAAUUAUGGCUUUUUGUAGUUACAAUAACUUUUAAAAAAUUUUGCAAAGCUAAGUUUGUAUAGUUUUAGAAUUUUUUACUAAUUUUAAAUAAAUAAAUAGACAUACAAAGCUAUUUGCUUUGUAACACAUUCGAAGAUCACGAGGAAGAACGAUUUAUGUCCAGGAAAGCUGAUUUGGAGAAAAAACAAUUUUGCUCACUGAAGUUUUUUCUAGGUUCUCCCAGUGUCAUGGUAAAUAGGUAACUUCUGGACAAAAUAUCAACUAAGGCUCAGAGUAAACUGAGGACUAUUCAAGUAUUCUCCAGUUUCCUGUGACCAUGCCGCAUUUUCUUAAAGAAUUAACUCUGAUGUGAAUUGUUACUACAAACCACUGAGAGGAUCUAGUCUUUUCAUUGGAGCUAAAAAAACACCUAUUUCCAGACCUAUUCCUUUUUUCCAGAAGACACCUAGGACAUAGGAAGAAAUUAAUGUGAUCAAUACAAUUAUUUAGAUAAGUAUUAUAAGUUGAACAAAUAAGUAUUAUAAGUUGAAACAAAUAAAAUUUUUUGUAAUAUAAAAGAAAAGUUUAUAGCUUUUCACACUUACUGAUUUAAAAAAAAAACC